AUGACAAAGUUUAACUUUUUAAAAUAACAUUUUGAAGUUUUGUUUUUAAAUCAAGUCACUUGCUAAAACAAAUCUGUGAAAUAAGAAAUCUUCUUUAAAACAUUAGUUACUUAGUGAAGCAUAAUUUAAAAUCUAUGAUUCUGCUAAAAAAGUUACUGUCCACUAACUUAAAGAUUAAGAAUACUUAAAACACGUAUUCUUAAAGUACCCAUGUAAAUAAUCUUCAGAGAAAAAUCAGUUUCAUUUUUAGUAAUGUUUCAGUUUUAAACACUACACUCAAAGUAACUAGCAUCACACAUACAAUGGCAGUGUAAAGCUGUUUCAGGAAAUGCGUGUUUCUCCAAGUUGCCUGGACUUAGUCCUUCCACACCCCAAAACUAAACCAGAAUCCAGUGACACAAGUAAAGGUGAGUAUUUUGGGGUUUUAUAUUAUAAGCUCUGCCAAGACAGGCUACAUGUCUGUUCUUUAUCCGGAUGGAGACCAACUGGGUCAUGCUACCGUGACCAUGGCCAUCUGGAGGCCAGAGCACAUGGAUUCUUUAUGUGCUUCCUUUGCAGCAGGCUGCCAUCAUCCACGGUGCAAUGAACAACUUACGUCUUACACUACAAAUCUUACUCCUCUUACUAUUUAAAUUUGUUUUAACUAAGGCAGAAGCUUCAUCAGAAACCACGUUGCGAUCCCAACUUUCUUAAUACCAAAAACUUCUCAUCCAGCCAUCCUUAUCUGUGAUCC
rnacentral:lncRNA from 1 species